rnacentral:misc_RNA from 1 species
AACAUAUCUAUUUUUGUCGCGCUCUUCGAAAACGUAUUUCCACAAUUAAUUUAUUUAAAAAAAUUUUAAAAAUGGGUCAGAAAAUUUAUACUGGAAAAUUUCCAAAUUUGAUUUGGAAGGUUUAGUUUAGUCGCCUGCAUGAGCCGUAUGAGUUUCGCGCUAUCUUCGUAUGAAUACAAAAUAUCACAGUUGAAUAUGGACUUGUUUGUCAAUUUUGGAAACUUUAUGGGGGUUUUAUGAAAAUCACGUAAGGGCUUGUGGGGUGGGGCCGUUGGGGGUGGAUUUGAAGAGAAAAAGCAGAAAAUUAUAGAGCCACUUUGGCUGUUGGACCACGAACGCGAGCA